UGGCUAACUCCUACGGGAGGCAGCAGUGGGGAAUAUUGGACAAUGGGCGCAAGCCUGAUCCAGCCAUGCCGCGUGAGUGAUGAAGGCCCCAGGGUUGUAAAGCUCUUUCACCGGUGAAGAUAAUGACGGUAACCGGAGAAGAAGCUCCGGCUAACUUUGUGCCAGCAGCCGCGGUAAUACGAAGGGGGCUAGCGUUGUUCGGAUUUACUGGGCGUAAAGCGCACGUAGGCGGACUAUUAAGUCAGGGGUGAAAUCCCGGGGCUCAACCCCGGAACUGCCUUUGAUACUGGUAGUCUUGAGUUCGAGAGAGGUGAGUGGAAUUCCGAGUGUAGAGGUGAAAUUCGUAGAUAUUCGGAGGAACACCAGUGGCGAAGGUGGCUCACUGGCACGAUACUGACGCUGAGGUGCGAAAGCGUGGGGAGCAAACAGGAUUAGAUACCCGAGUAGUCCAGCUGG
rnacentral:rRNA from 1 species